rnacentral:rRNA from 1 species
AGAGUUUGAUGAUGGCUCAGAAUGAACGUUGGCGGCGUGGAUUAGGCAUGUACAUGGAGCGAGAAGUCUUAGAUUGAAGCUUCGGCCGAUUUCUAAGAUGGACAGCGGCGAAAGGGAGAGUAAUGAGUGGAUUACUUGCCCCCAGGACCGGGAUAGCUGUGGGAAACUGCAGGUAAUACCGGAUAAUAUCUCCGGAUCAAAUGGUGAGAUUCCGCCUGGGGAUAGGUCCGCUUCCUAUUAGCUUGUUGGUGGGGUAACGGCCUACCAAGGCAACAAUGGGUACCGGGUGUGAGAGCAUGGCCCGGCUCACUGGGACUGAGACACUGCCCAGACACCUACGGGUGGCUGCAGUCGAGAAUCUUCCGCAAUGGGCGAAAGCCUGACGGAGCGACGCCGCGUGCGGGAUGAAGGCCUUCGGGUUGUAAACCGCUGUCAGUGGGGAGGAAAUCUAUAGGGGUCAUCCCCUAUAGUUGACCUAUCUUCAGAGGAAGGACGGGCUAAGUUCGUGCCAGCAGCCGCGGUAAGACGAACCGUCCAAACGUUAUUCGGAAUCACUGGGCUUAAAGGGUGCGUAGGCGGCUUGGCAAGUUGGGUGUGAAAUCCCUCGGCUCAACCGGGGAACUGCGCU